UACGUAGGGAGCGAGCGUUGUCCGAAUUCACUGGGCGUAAAGCGCGCGUAGGCGGGUUCUUAAGUUGGUGGUGAAAUCCCGAGGCUCAACCUCGGAACUGCCUCCAAAACUGGGAACCUUGAGGUAUGGAGGGGGAAGUGGAAUUCCAGGUGUAGCGGUGAAAUGCGUAGAUAUCUGGAGGAACACCCGUGGCGAAGGCGGCUUCCUGGCCAUAUCCUGACGCUGAGGUGCGAAAGCUAGGGUAGCGAACGGGAUUAGAUACCCCGGUAGUCCUAGCCGUAAACGAUGGAUACUAGGUGUUAGAGGUAUCGACCCCUCUAGUGCCGAAGCUAACGCAUUAAGUAUCCCGCCUGGGGAGUACGACCGCAAGGUUG
rnacentral:rRNA from 1 species